GAUGAACGCUAGCUACAGGCUUAACACAUGCAAGUCGAGGGGCAGCAUGGAGUUUGCUUGCAAACUCUGAUGGCGACCGGCGCACGGGUGAGUAACGCGUAUCCAACCUGCCCAUUACUCGGGCAUAGCCCAGUGAAAACUGGAUUAACUCCCGAUGCUGUUCUGAUUGGGCAUCUUAUCAGGACAAAAGUUUACGGUAAUGGAUGGGGAUGCGUCUGAUUAGGUAGUAGGCGGGGUAACGGCCCACCUAGCCGACGAUCAGUAGGGGUUCUGAGAGGAAGGUCCCCCANACUGGAACUGAGACACGGUCCAGACUCCUACGGGAGGCAGCAGUGAGGAAUAUUGGUCAAUGGGCGAGAGCCUGAACCAGCCAAGUAGCGUGCAGGGAAGACGGCCCUAUGGGUUGUAAACUGCUUUUAUGCGGGAAUAAGAUCAGAUACGUGUAUCUGCGUGCGAUGUACCGCAUGAAUAAGG
rnacentral:rRNA from 1 species